UUUCCAAGUUCUAACUCUCUACUCCAUCUCUCUACCAACAACAUCGCCUCCUCCUUCCACCACCACCAUCACCGCCGUAACCUACUUCCACCACCACCACCACCGCCGUAAACUCUCAUCCCCACAGCCGGAUCCGGAUCCAGGUCGGAAAUAAUCAGAAUUAAACAUCACUCUUCCUCUAUCUUUCCACCAUCUCCCAUCUCUCUCUCUUCGGGAACCAGAUCUGCAAUGGUGGUUGCAGAUUUGGUGGAAGGUUAGGGUUUGUUCGAAAUAAAAUUUUGGGGUUUUCAUGUACAAAAGAGGAUAACUCAAAUUGACGGUUGAAGGUUGAUGAAGGAUGGUGGCAGGUGGGGUUGAUGGCGGAUAUUGAUGGCAGUCGUUAUUGUUGAAGGAAGGUGGCAGGUGGGUUGAUGUUGGCGGUUGUUGAUGAAGGAUGGUCGCAGGUGGGUGGUGAUCGUUGAAGGUUGAUGAAGGAUGGUGGCAAGUGGUGGUCCGGUGGUAGUGGUGGUUGUUGGGAGCUACGAUGGUGGAGGGUCGCUGAAAACAUGAAUAAUCAAAGCCAAAGCCAAUUUCAGAUCUUGUUCAAGAAGGUGAAUAAGUAUGUUUUUUUCAGCUUUGUUUGGAAAUCUACACUUUGAAGAUGAUGUUUCAGAUGUUGAAGAUGAUUCAAAAGAUGUUUGAUGUUGAACAUAGUUACAAAAUGUAACAAUCAAAGAAAAAAUGCCUGUUACAUUUUUUUUGGGUUAGAAAUGUAACAAUCAAUCAAAGCAAAAAUGCCUGAGAUUUAUGUAGACUUUUGCUGUGUUGAAUCGGAGAAUUUUAUAUGUUAUGGAUUUUUUGGUUU